rnacentral:SRP_RNA from 1 species
GGUCAUAGGCAAUAACGAGCUUACGAACGAGUCAGGUCCGGAAGGAAGCAGCUAUAAGUAAGUUUCGUUAUGUGCUCUAUGUUUUUU